rnacentral:rRNA from 1 species
AUUGAACGCUGGCGGCAUGCCUUACACAUGCAAGUCGAACGGUAACAGGUCUUCGGAUGCUGACGAGUGGCGAACGGGUGAGUAAUGCAUCGGAACGUGCCCAGUAGUGGGGGAUAGCCCAGCGAAAGCCGGAUUAAUACCGCAUACGACCUGAGGGUGAAAGGGGGGGAUCGCAAGACCUCUCGCUAUUGGAGCGGCCGAUGUCAGAUUAGCUAGGUGGUGGGGUAAAGGCCUACCAAGGCAACGAUCUGUAGUUGGUCUGAGAGGACGACCAGCCACACUGGGACUGAGGCACGGCCCAGACUCCUACGGGAGGCAGCAGUGGGGAAUUUUGGACAAUGGGCGGAAGCCUGAUCCAGCAAUGCCGCGUGCAGGAAGAAGGCCUUCGGGUUGUAAACUGCUUUUGUCAGGGAAGAAAUCUUCUGGGUUAAUACCUCGGGAGGAUGACGGUACCUGAAGAAUAAGCACCGGCUAACUACGUGCCAGCCGCCGCCGUAACA